GAUUUUAUGCACCUCCUCAUGUUCAUUCGCUGGAUUGAAUCAACGUUGGAUACUCUCUCUAAUUUCCUUUAAUUUUGUUACUAAUGCUUGCAAUUACUACUUAUCUGCGUAAUUGAUUAUCUUCUUGGCAUAUUUAGUUUAAUAUAGAAAGUUAGAAACUGAUUAAUAAUAACCCUUUUAUUGGGGUAUUUGCAGAAUUUUGGAUUUAGGGGAUGAAAUGCAGAAGGUCAACAGCUGGAUGUUUUCAGUGACUGAUUAGACUUCUUUUUGUUUUUAUUGAUUGAAUUAAUACCAUUAUUGCUGAUUGAUUUUCAGAAUGGGAUAUAUAAGCUUAGAUAAUGAAAGUUUUAAUAAAUAAUAGGAAAAAAGGUCACUCGGAGAAAUUUCCCCAGGCUUUAGGGUUUCAUUACUCCUCCAGUAGGUAAGCCCCGUUCAUGUGGUGUUUUGGAGUUCAUAUUUUGUGCUAUUGAGUUUUUUUUACAUUUACGUUUGCUGUUGCCUUGCAAGCGAUAUGCAGAUUUAUGCUGAAAGCUAAUAGUUUAGAAUUAGAUUUAUUUGCUGUUUCUUAUAGUAAAGACACAUGCACCAAUUAUCACAAGACCUGAACCACUCUUAAAUUAACACAAUCUGUUCUAUAGAAAUUUAUUUGUAUACUGGAUUGUCUUGAUUCACAUAUCUGGAGCUGGAAAUUUACUAUAAAACAAUCCUUUAGAACCGUUUAUCUAUGCUGCUAAUCGUUAGAAAAUAGAACACUGUCAACUUUUGUCACUCGAACAACUUGAAAAAUCUCAAUCUUCACUUGUUUAUCAUACACGCUUUAUGUUUUUUCAAUCACAAAAUCAUGAUGUGAGAAUAUGUAACUUCCAAUAUUAAUAAAUAAAUGAAGGCUAGUCUCGGUUACUGGUCCUAUUUAUGUGAGUGGUCUUUCAACAUGAUCUAUCAAUAGGGCAUUCAGACUUAGAAAAUAGUCCUUAGCUAGUUGCUUCUAUGUUGGUUGACCGCUUUAGAGUGUUAAUCUCAGAGAUCGUUUACUCCGGCACAUCAUGCAUUUGAUUGUCAACAUUUGGCACUUUUAUCUGCGGCUGAGUAAUGCACUUGAGAACUAUCUUUUCUUUUCUUUUUUUGUGUAAAUCUUCAUAGUAUGACAAUCUUGGGCAUCGUUUACUCUGGCACAUCAUUCACGUGAUCGUCAACAUUUGGUGCUUUUUGCUGCGGCUGAAUAAUGCACUGGAGAGCCAUCUUAUUUCGAGUAGUUUUUUGAUGAGUUAUAAAACCAUUAAUACCGGCAAAGUUCAAUAACUGGCAAUCGUUAUGGAUAGUGAAGAAGCUUUUCAGACUCCAAAAGUUCCUGAGCUAUUGCGAUGGCUAGCAGUUAUUGGUUUGAAAAAUGUAUGCCUCUAUGAUAUGGAAGGUACAUGUGCCAUGACUCCAUGAAAUCACCACUGAGAAGUUUCAAUAAUAUGUUUUCUUCAACUUCUAUUAUUAUGAUAGUGAUUCCAUUCUCAUGUUGUAGGAGUACUGAAACCUUCAGAAGAAGUCAUUACGAAAGUGAUAAAAUGUUCAAGGUAAUGUCUUCCAGUUCUACAUUUUCUCUGUUCUAGCUUACAAACAUCCCAUGCAAGCUACAAUGCCUCUGCAUUUGUUUGCAAUUUUUCGGUUACUAGAUUAUUAAUCAUAAUAUCAUAAAAGAAUUUGUUUCUGAUUAUAUAUGGCUAAAUACAAACUAUUCAACACUCCCUAUUUCCAAGUGAAAUAAUCCACCCUACAAACAAGAAAAACAAAAAUGUUACAGUGAGUGUUAUAUAUCUCUGUGUCACCUGAAUGCCAUUACGGAUGGCUGCUUGUGCAAAAUUAAGCCAACUUUGCGCAGGAAACUGCCACAAUUGGCCCUCUUUUUGAGCAGAAGUACAUGAAUGUGGAACUCAUUUCAUUUUCUGAUGGGAAAGAAGCAGUUGCCAAAGCAGCUAUUUUUCAUUUUUGAGAAGCACUAUUCAAGUCCCAAUGCAGAGAAGCUGAAUCCGAAAUAAUCUGACAUGGCUGAAGCUUUUACAUCUAUAGGUUUGCUGUUUUCCAUGUUCCACAACUCUGUAUCUGUUUUCCCCUCAUUAUUCGAAAAGAAAUAAACACCAACUAGCAGUUUUAUCUAUUUAACAAACUCACUCACAUAUUUUUGGUGAUUUUAGGAUGUGGAGGAACAGAACCUGAUCUCAUGUUGAUUUAUGGGCCUGCCCGAUGCCAUCUAGGCUUUCCAGCUUGGAGAAUGAGUUAUACUGAGAUUGUGUGAGUACUAGACGUAAUACUUAAAUCAACAUCUUUGCUACUUUUUUCUUGUACUCGGAGAAGGGGAACAUGGACUUGCAAAGUAAACAUUUUUUACCUGAGAAAUAACUUAUUACAUUUUCCUCUUCAGUUACAUUAUCAACAUCCGAGCAAACUUGUGCUUGAGAAAUGACAACAUAUUGGGCUUUUUU
rnacentral:lncRNA from 1 species